rnacentral:lncRNA from 1 species
UUCGACUUGAUAUUCAGUUUGUUGAAAAUAUGUUGGAAAUUAAAUGUUACGUUCCGGAUUACCUCGUUCUCCGGGCACGCUAACAGACCCGCCGGAUACAUAAAUUUUUUUUCUGUAUACGAAGUAAAGCUGUACAUGUAUAUGAAAUCAUUCAACACUACAACCAGUAGUAUAGAGCUACUAGAAAGGAAUAAAACAUAAAUAAUCACAGUGGUUCAAUACAUACAUAACAUCC